GAUGAACGCUGGCGGCGUGCCUAAUACAUGCAAGUCGAGCGAACAGACGAGGAGCUUGCUCCUUUGACGUUAGCGGCGGACGGGUGAGUAACACGUGGGUAACCUACCUAUAAGACUGGGAUAACUUCGGGAAACCGGAGCUAAUACCGGAUAAUAUUUCGAACCGCAUGGUUCGAUAGUGAAAGAUGGCUUUGCUAUCACUUAUAGAUGGACCUGCGCCGUAUUAGCUAGUUGGUAAGGUAACGGCUUACCAAGGCAACGAUACGUAGCCGACCUGAGAGGGUGAUCGGCCACACGGGAACUGAGACACGGUCCCGACACCUAGGGGAGGCCACAGUAGGGAAUCUUCCGCAAUGGGCGAAAGCCUGACGGAGCAACGCCGCGUGAGUGAUGAAGGUCUGCGGAUCGUAAAACUCUGUUAUUAGGGAAGAACAAACGUGUAAGUAACUGUGCACGUCUUGACGGUACCUAAUCAGAAAGCCACGGCUAACUACGUG
rnacentral:rRNA from 1 species